AAUGCAGAAAGACACUACAACACAACAUCAUAUUUACCACAACAUUCCUAUCAUGUGUUAUAAGAGCCCAUGGUAGAAAGGAAUCAAUUAUCACAGUCAAAGUCGGCCUGUGGUAGAUAUGAUUAAUUAACUACAAUCAUAUUCGUGCCUGUUGUUAAAAUUGAGUAAGUUACAACAGGUAUGUACUGCUCGUGAUUGAAAACAAAAAUCACCACAUGUAGUGCUUGUGGUGAUUAACUAAAACCACCUCACCGCCUUUUUAAAUUUCACCAUGUAUCUGGCCUGUGGUUGAUGUUUUUGAUUUAUUUUUGUUGGCGCCUUGAUAAUAUUUGGGGAUAUUAGAAUUAUUUACUUACCCCGUGCGUACCUCAGCUAAGUGGUUUUAAUUUUUUCCCAAUUGAGAGAUGAAGUCGUGAAAAUUCUUCGUUUCUCCAUCUCCUGUCUCUUUUACUUAAAAGCCCAGACCUUAAUUAGAGCCUAGCCGCCUCCAAUCUCUCCUCGUUUAUCUCCAUCUCUAGACCAAUGGCAGCCUUCCUCCCGUGCUCAGGUUUUGUUUAUCUUGUCUACCAAUUUCAGAUUAGACGCCAUCACCUCGACUUUUUCUCUCCCAUUCAUUAUCUCUCUCUUCCUUCCCGUAUCCUCUCUCUUCCUAAUCUCUUUCAAGCAACAGCGGCGUCGUCUAUAGGUCACCAACGACCCUUAAAUUAUACCUCCAGGAUGCUCUUCCCAUCCUCUUUCCAACCCCUAAGUUAGUUUCUACAAAUUUGUACCCGAAUUUCCUCAAUUUCAUAUCCAAUAAAUGGUGACCGUCGGUUUUCUAGCCAAGCCUGCCGGAAUUGGACCUUGACCCAAGAGGUAAAAAUGAUCCUCUCAUCGCGGGCUGUCAUCCAGUGAGAAAAUCUUAUGUGCCACAACAUAUGCAUACCUAUGUCUCUGCAUCCCAGUGACCGGAGAAAAUCUUAUUUGAGAUAUUUUCAACCAUUAUCCCAAGAUAUUAAAAAGGUCGUACCCAGUACACAAGGCUCCCGCUUUACGUAGGGUCUGGGAGAUGUGAAUGUCGGCUAGCCUUUACUAAAAAUCUUGGGAAUGUUCUAACAAAAAUCCAAUCCUAGGGCCGGCCACCCUCUCUAUAAGUACCUUAUUUCUCCACCAAAAUUAGGUGCACUUUCGUCAAAGUGAAGGACGACAAAAAUUUGCAUCGACAACAUCCAUUUAGAUUAUGUGUUUGCAUCGCAGUGCAUAUUAUUUAUAGUGCCAGUAGUGAGCUACUAUUCAACAUAUAUGUGGUUUAAGUUGAAUGGUAGUCCAUUUUCUUGUAUUUGAAUUUAGACAGAUCAAGUAAAUUCAGGGAGAUGUGAAAGAAAGUAGGCAUUUUUUGAAAAGUAGAAGACAGCAAGACAGCUACUUGAUCACGAGUUCACGACUUUUCUCCUAGAAAAGAGAAAUGUGUACAAUUAGACGUGUAAACAGGUUAGGUUUACGGGUCACCCGAACCUAACCCGUUAAGUUAAUGAGUCACUCGUUUCAACCCGUUAACCCUUUUUAUUUAUUUAUUUAUUUAUUGUUUUUUUUUUUUACAUUUCAUCCAACUGUGACAUCCACAUCGUGUAAGGAAGAAAUCUUAGCAUCCUAGUGCUUGUGCUAGCCACCUCCUUCUUUCAUUUGGUUUGUGUGCAUAUGCAAGUCAUGGAGUGAUUUGAUGAACACUUAGAGCUUUAUUACUAUGCACAAGAUUAGGAAUGUCACGAAACAUGUUUAUGUCUAUCUACUUUGCCUUAAGAAACAACUACAACCACGACCCAUGGUUACAACGAGCGUUGUUGAUCAAUAAACCAGGGGGUUGCUGUUGGAUAGUGGCCAAAUUAGUGGCCAACUUGGCAUUCACUUUCGGCUAGUAAAUUAAACAAAGAAAAGUUUGGUGGACAUCAUCAUGAGUAAAGACACAAUGAUUAUGUUUUUUGAAAAGAAAAAGGAAGGUCAUGAUGAUGUUUGUAAAGGAAUGAUAAUUCCUUUACUUUGGAUUUUUUAUUGGUUGCUUUUGUAUGGAUAGAGGUUGCAGCCGAAUGUGGGAAGGAAGGGGGGAGCGGCAGAUGAGAGAAACUAGGGAGAGCAUUCGGCUCUCCCAUUUGAAUAUGAGCUGCUCCUUCCCACCAUUUGUAAUAAUCCCAUUUUGUUAGUAAUCACUCAAUCAAAGAUGUUGGUGCUACUUGUGUAGCUUUUGGGAGAGAAGGAUUUUGAUAUGUGUUUCUUCUUCUCCAUUUGUUUCUUAGUUUGAGCGAGAGCUAUUGAUUGUAUGUGGGAUUUGGGUUUGAGAGUUAAAACUCUAUUUGUAAUGUCCUUUUGAUAUUAGUGGAAUUUCCUCGCC